CAAACAAAAUACACGACUUCAACUUCACCCCUUCAUCUCCAUUUCAUCAACCUUAGAUACCUAAGUUACAGGGUUUCGAAAAAAUCGCUACUUAUUCAAUUUCUCAAAUCCUUUUCCUAAAUCUGUCAAAUCCUAAAUGUUUACACAACCAAUUAGUCGAAGCAAUUCUUUGGGUUUAUGGGGUUGUCUAAUGUUUCAAUCGGAUUGAUUCAGUUUCGCCCAAUCGGUUUUCAUUGUUCAAUUAAUCAACUGAAUUGCGUGGUACAUGUGCCAGAAAUUAGAAUGAGACCGAAGCAUAUAUAUCAAGACAUCAUAGUUUCAGUGAGAUAAGUUGUGGUUUACCAAAAAAUAUGAUAUGUAAUGAGACGUAGUGCAAAAAAUCUAAUAGCGCAACCGAAGCAUAUAUAUCAAGACAUCAUAUUAUCAGUCAGAUAAGUUGUGAUUUACAUAAAACAUAUUAGAUUCUUUUAUUUUGAAGAAUAUAAACGUUCUUGUUUAAUUUUGCAUCUCAUUGAACUGCAGGAUAUCCAAUGAGAUGUCAUUUGAUUGUACACCAGUUUAUUACAAUAGAGUAUAUGUUUCGAAGGGAGAAACUGGAAGUUCAAUACCAGGACAGGGUUUAACGUAUAUUAGAGGAUCACUUAGUAAUCAGAGAGAUACAGUUAUCUAGCUGUUUUCAUACAUGAAGAUUGUGGACCAAAAGUGCGGGAUGAAGAUUUCUGUUGAGUUGGCGGUGCAUGAGAUUGCGGAUGGCUUUGUAUUGGUAUUAGUCUGGUGAAGGUCCUCUGUACUUUAUCUCGUCAAUAAGUUUCAGGAAUAUGUCAUCAGUCAACAACGGACAUGGCACGAUGGAGGUCGUGUUGAUCAUAGUCAUACGAUAAACAUGGAAAGUUCAGAAAUGUUGCAGAAAUAUCAGCUAAGACCAUUUCUAUAGUCUCUCCAGUAAAGGCCGUGUAUUGCUUCCAAGAAUGAAUAAUUUUAACUUGAAUUCUCCAGCCUGUUUUGAAUGGUUUGAUUGUUAGUAAAUCUAUGAAAAGAGAAACAUUUUCGGCAGCCAUUGGAGAAGGUUUGCUAGAAAAGAGAGGAAUGAAGCUUUAAGGUAUAUGUCGUUGGUAUAUUCGAAGCCCAAAUUCGUUGGUAUGUUAUUUGUUGGUGGCCCAUAUUUGAAACCGAUAUGAAUUCAAGUAGAUCCGAUUUAGGAAUUCCGGGUAUGUUUAGAAAAAUAACCCGAUUGAAGGAACACUAAAGUCAAAUAUGCCCUUUUCGGUGAUGGUUUCAUUUGUUGGCGUCAGGGGUAGUUUUGUCCGAUGGUAAAGUUGUACUUCUCUUUUACUAUAAUAGGGAUAGAGACAAAAAUAGAGGACCAUUAGAGAUGCCCUUAGGUGAAAGAAAACUGAGAAAAAAGAGAGAAGAUAAGAUUUGGAGACUAAGGGAGGAGACCAAAUUAAGAAUUAGGUUUUCGUUUUUUUUUUUAACUCUUCAGUUUCUAAGUUUUUUUUUUAUUCUAAUAAAUUAAGAAAACAAAUUAAUUUUUUCAUUAUUUUAGUAAUUUUUAUUACAAUCUGCUACAUCUUGUCUUGUGUGCACUUGUGCUACAACAAGUCGUGUCUCUAAAUUUGUAGCAAAUUUGCUUCAAUUUGUCUUUGUUAUUAUUUGUGAUUUUAUAACAGAGAUGAACUA